UACGUAGGGGGCUAGCGUUGUCCGGAAUCAUUGGGCGUAAAGCGCGUGUAGGCGGUCCGGUAAGUCCGCUGUGAAAGUCGGGGGGCUCAACCCUUGAAUGCCGGUGGAUACUGUCGGGCUAGAGUCCGGAAGAGGCGAGUGGAAUUCCCGGUGUAGCGGUGAAAUGCGCAGAUAUCGGGAGGAACACCUAUGGCGAAGGCAGCUCGCUGGGACGUUACUGACGCUGAGACGCGAAAGCGUGGGGGAGCAAACAGG
rnacentral:rRNA from 1 species